rnacentral:rRNA from 1 species
UACAGAGGUCUCAAGCGUUGUUCGGAUUCAUUGGGCGUAAAGGGUGCGUAGGUGGCGCGGUAAGUCGGGUGUGAAAUUUCGGAGCUUAACUCCGAAACUGCAUUCGAUACUGCCGUGCUUGAGGACUGGAGAGGGGACUGGAAUUUACGGUGUAGCAGUGAAAUGCGUAGAGAUCGUAAGGAAGACCAGUGGCGAAGGCGGGUCUCUGGACAGUUCCUGACACUGAGGCACGAAGGCCAGGGGAGCAAACGGG